CGCGAUCCUCUUCACUUCUUCCGUCCGUCUCGCUCUCCGGCAAAGACGAGGCAACCCGCCGCCACGCCGCCGGUGGCAAAAUCAUCCAUACAACGGCGGCAGGCUGCCGGCUUUUUCGCCCCAUCACCGGCGAAGUUGUACCACGUGACUAUGUAAAUGUCUUCAUUUCGGCAAAAUGUUGACAGCAUAAAAAUCUGACCGAAGCUUUCUGCUGAGGGCGAGCGGCGGAAGAACAGGCAGUGUCCUGCAGAGAAUCAUCCUCAUCGUCUUCAUCCAUGAGGUCCGACGUGAGGAAGGAGUCGGUGUCGGAGCCAUCACCCAAGGAAUCA